CGGCCCUACACAUGCAAGUCGAGCGGUAACAGGGGUAGCUUGCUACCCGCUGACGAGCGGCGGACGGGUGAGUAAUGCAUAGGAAUCUGCCCGAUAGUGGGGGAUAACCUGGGGAAACCCAGGCUAAUACCGCAUACGUCCUACGGGAGAAAGGGGGCUCCGGCUCCCGCUAUUGGAUGAGCCUAUGUCGGAUUAGCUAGUUGGUGAGGUAAAGGCUCACCAAGGCGACGAUCCGUAGCUGGUCUGAGAGGAUGAUCAGCCACAUCGGGACUGAGACACGGCCCGAACUCCUACGGGAGGCAGCAGUGGGGAAUAUUGGACAAUGGGCGAAAGCCUGAUCCAGCCAUGCCGCGUGUGUGAAGAAGGCCCUCGGGUUGUAAAGCACUUUCAGCGAGGAAGAACGCCUAGUGGUUAAUACCCAUUAGGAAAGACAUCACUCGCAGAAGAAGCACCGGCUAACUCCGUGCCAGCAGCCGCGGUAAUACGGAGGGUGCAAGCGUUAAUCGGAAUUACUGGGCGUAAAGCGCGCGUAGGUGGCUUGAUAAGCCGGUUGUGAAAGCCCCGGGCUCAACCUGGGAACGGCAUCCGGAACUGUCAAGCUAGAGUG
rnacentral:rRNA from 1 species